AGUUCGCCCCGCGAACUGCGUAACUUGAGUACAGGAGGGGAAAGCGGAAUUCCUAGUGUAGCGGUGAAAUGCGUAGAUAUUAGGAGGAACACCAGUGGCGAAGGGGGCUUUCUGGUCUGCAACUGACACUGAGGCUCGGAAGCGUGUGUCACAAAUCGGAUUAGAUCCCCUGGUAGUCCACGCCGUAAACGAUGAGCACUAGGUGUCGGGCACGAGAGUGUUCGGUGCCGGAGCAAACGCAUUAAGUGCUCCGCCUGGGGAGUACGCACGCAAGUGUAAAACUCAAAGGAAUUGACGGGGACCCGCACAAGCAGCGGAGCAUGUGGUUUAAUUCGAAGCAACGCGAAGAACCUUACCAGGGCUUGACAUCCCUCUGACCGGCCAGAUAACGAUGGCCUUUCUUUUGACAGAGGUGACAGGUGGUGCAUGGUUGUCGUCAGCUCGUGUCGUGAGAUGUUGGGUUAAGUCCCGCAACGAGCGCAACCCUUGUCGUCAGUUACUAACAUUAAGUUGAGGACUCUGACGAGACUGCCGAGGUCAACUCGGAGGAAGGUGGGGAUGACGUCAAAUCAUCAUGCCCCUUAUGAUUUGGGCUACACACGUGCUACAAUGGUCGGUACAAUGAGAAGCAAGAUGGCGACAUGGAGCAAAUCACCAAAACCGAUCUCAGUUCGGAUUGCAGGCUGCAACUCGCCUGCAUGAAGUCGGAGUUGCUAGU
rnacentral:rRNA from 1 species